AAUCAACGCUGGCGGCGUGCCUCAGACAUGCAAGUCGAACGCGAAACCUUCCUUCGGGAGGGGAGUAGAGUGGCGCACGGGUGAGUAACACGUAGGUAAUCUGCCUUCGGGUGGGGAAUAACAGCCGGAAACGGCUGCUAAUACCGCAUAAUGCAGCGGCUCGACAUCGAGACAGUUGUUAAAGCGGGGGAUUCGCAAGAACCUCGCGCCUGAAGAGAAGCCUGCGGCAGAUUAGCUAGUUGGUAGGGUAAUGGCCUACCAAGGCGACGAUCUGUAACCGGCCUGAGAGGGCGGUCGGUCACACUGACACUGACAUACGGGUCAGACU
rnacentral:rRNA from 1 species